CCUACGGGCGGCUGCAGUGGGGAAUAUUCCGCAAUGGACGAAAGUCUGACGGAGCAACGCCGCGUGAGUGAUGAAGGUUUUCGGACUGUAAAACUCUGUUGUUUAGGACGAAAGUGCCUGUUGCAAAUAGUUGCAGGUAUUGACGGUACUGAACGAGGAAGCCACGGCUAACUACGUGCCAGCAGCCGCGGUAAUACGUAGGUGGCAAGCGUUGUCCGGAAUUAUUGGGCGUAAAGAGCAUGUAGGUGGAUACUUAAGUCUGUUGUGAAAAUGCGGGGCUCAACCCCGUAUUGCGAUGGAAACUGGGUGUCUUGAGUGCAGGAGAGGAAAGGGGAAUUCCCAGUGUAGCGGUGAAAUGCGUAGAUAUUGGGAGGAACACCAGUGGCGAAGGCGCCUUUCUGGACUGUGUCUGACACUGAGAUGCGAAAGCUAGGGGAGCGAACGGGCUUAGAUACCCGGGUAGUC
rnacentral:rRNA from 1 species